rnacentral:rRNA from 1 species
UACGUAGGGUGCAAGCGUUAAUCGGAAUUACUGGGCGUAAAGCGUGCGCAGGCGGUUAUGCAAGGCAGAUGUGAAAUCCCCGGGCUCAACCUGGGAACUGCAUUUGUGACUGCAUAGCUAGAGUGCGGCAGAGGGAGAUGGAAUUCCGCGUGUAGCAGUGAAAUGCGCAGAUAUCAGGAGGAACACCGGUGGCGAAGGCGGGUCUCUGGGCCGAAACUGACGCUGAGGCGCGAAAGCUAGGGGAGCAAACGGG